rnacentral:rRNA from 1 species
CAGCCGCCGCGGUAAUACGAAGGGUGCAAGCGUUAAUCGGAAUUACUGGGCGUAAAGCGUGCGUAGGCGGUUUGUUAAGUCUGCUGUGAAAUCCCCGGGCUCAACCUGGGAAUGGCAGUGGAUACUGGCAAGCUAGAGUGUGUCAGAGGAUGGUGGAAUUCCCGGUGUAGCGGUGAAAUGCGUAGAGAUCGGGAGGAACAUCAGUGGCGAAGGCGGCCAUCUGGGACAACACUGACGCUGAGGCACGAAAGCGUGGGGAGCAAACAGGAUUAGAUACCCCGGUAGUCCCUGUCUCUUAUAC